rnacentral:piRNA from 1 species
CCCACUUUCUUGGAAGGCAUAUGGGGG